CGUUGACAAAGAGAAUCUUUGUUUUGUGUUGUAGAAGUAAGGGUUGGUAUCCAAAGCAAAAGUUAAGGGCUUAAUUUAGAAAUGAAUUUUAAGCUUUAAAUUUAAGGUAAGUGGAUGGUUGUUCAUUCUAUAUUGGGAAACUAAUAUUAUCUGUGAGGAAUAAACGCAAACACCCAAAAGACCCGGCAGUCUUAUCUGAAGGUAGAACAUGGGCAAUGGCGACAAAACCCAGAAUCAGCAGACUGUAACACAAGCAUUACAGGGCACCAAAACAAAAGUGCCUAGCUAUGUGAUGUAGUUAAAGGCUGGGAAUCAUGAGCGUCGCGACCAAGCUUCUGUAGAACUUCCGCUACACAGACCUCGAACAAAACCAGGCCUGUUACCCAACGCAAAUUUUGCAACUAUAUUUUUUUUCUUGAAAUCGAGUCGAUUUUAGUUUUCUUUUGGGGUUAAUGCUCCAAAUUCUUAAUUAUUGUCGAAAAUUUAAAUUGAUUUUUGGUUUUAAAAUUUUAUAAUUGUAUCUUCAAUACAUCAAUAUUAUACCGAUUAGAUUCUAUCAUA